rnacentral:misc_RNA from 1 species
AAACAAAUAAACAUGACAGGACGCGUGACUAUUCCUUUAAAAUAUGCUGUUUGGAGAUUUUCAACGCUUUUAUUUGGAGAUUUUCAACGAGUUUUGUUUCAAAGAAGCUUUUGUUUAAUUAACAGAUUUUUAAAUAGUUAUGAUUAGUGCGCAUAUCAAUUAGUUUUACUUUAUCGUUUUUAUAAGUUUUUACAAAACGGAUAAAAAGGCCUCAAAAAGAUCGCCCACAAACCACUAACAAAACCAUUUAAAGAACAAAAAAAUAAAAUUAUAAAUCUGUUAAUAAAGAAAAAGACAUGGAAGAAAAAGAAGUGGAAAAUAAAGAAAUCAAUAAUAUAGAUAUAGAACUUUUUUAUAAACCAAAAAGCUAUUACGAGGAGAAAGUAAUUGCUUUUCUGAAUAGCAAUAAAAAUGGAUCGACUCGCUCACCUUUUGCACACUGGCAACGCGAAAGAACCUCAAGUUUUGACAGUAUAUGCUCAAGCUCUGGAUCUGAGCGUGUUAAAAAUAAAAGACACUCUUUAUCGUUUUUAGAACAAAUCAGCAAACCGUUUAAAGAAAUUUCUUUAUCUCGAGCACCAAGUUUCGAUAUACUGUUUCAUCCGAAAGAUGAUAUAGCUAAACUAAAAAACGAUCGUGAUCAAAAAAGUCCUUCAAACAACGCCAAAAAUUCACCUAAUAACAGUUUAAAAAAAAUAAAAUGUUUAGAAGAAUUAAAUAAUAAAAAACUCUCAACAACUUUAUUUUUUCAUUAUGACGACGAAGAUCUUAAAAGUUCUGAAUUAUCCGAUAUUGGUUUAAGACAUCAAAGUUUAUUGGAAGCAGAUGGUGAUUCACAAAGUUUAUUUGUUAAACCCUUAUAUAUUGUUAGUAACAAUUUAAAAACUUGAUUUUUGUCUGCAGUAGCUUGUUUAAAUAUUAUAUGUAUAGAUAUAUACUGUUAGAAAGAAUCAUUUUAUUAGAAAUAGCAUGAUUAGCAUGAUGAUCAAUAAUGCUUGGUGUUUUAACUGCAAGGUGUCAGGUUGUAACUUAAUCAAUUAGUUAAGUGCCAUAAAUCAUUAAUUAUAUUUAAAAAGUGCCAUUAAUCAUUAAUUGUAUUUAUUUUUUAUUUUGAUAACUUUUAUUUCCUAAGGUUCAUAAAGAUUUCCAAUUCAAACAAUGUUUUUAUUUUUAUUUUAGAAUAAUUAAUUUUCCGUUUUUUAUCAUUUAGACUUCCUAAUAUAUUCAUAUGCAUUUUUUGAAAUAUUUAAUUUAUUUAAGUUUUUAAUAUAAGUAUUAAAUUAAAAAUAAUAUCACUAAAGGUAAAAAAAAAUAACGCAGAAAACUUAACAAGUAAAAAGGUUAUCAUAAUGUUUUUGUUGUAUUUACUUCAGUAAAAAUUUUUUUUUUUAAUAAAUAUAUAAGAAAAAAUUAUCUAAGACAAUAAAAAGUAAACUUUUAAAAUUACUUGACUUAAUUAAGAUCAGUAAAGAUAGGACUUAAUUAAGGUCAGUAAAGACAGGAAUUAAUUAAGGUCAGUAUAGACAGGACUUAAUUAAGUUAAAUAAAGACAGGACUUAAUUAAGGUCAGUAAAGACAGGGGUGAUUAUCGAAUAAUGUAUAAGUAGAGGUCAGUUUUUCUUGAUAUGUUAAUAAAGAGGAAGGACUCUAGCCAAAAAGGUAGUUCAAGGGUGCUGAUGCCUCCCCCCUUAAUUAAAGUUAUUAAGUUUUUAAUACGGCUCAAUUCAUCCUUAAAGUUAAGAAAAUCAACCAAAAUUAAGAAAACAAAAAAAAAACGAUGAUGUGUUUUUAUUUGCUUUAUUUUGGUUGAACCUUUAACAAAAAAAUUUAUGUAAAGCUAUUUACGUAAUAUUACUUUUUUUUUUUAGAAAAGUUUGUUACAAACAAACGUUUUUUUUUUUUUUUUUUUUAGUUAUUCAGCUGCUCUCAGAAGUCCUUACAGUCUUUUUACAAAGCACCACCGGAGAACAUUAAUCUAGAAUUUCAAACCUACUUCAAUACCAAUGUUGUUUGUUAGACUAAAAACAAGUGGUUAGAGUUCUGAGCCAGAACUCUAACCACUGCGCCGCAGCUGCUCAAAUGCUAAUUUGUUUUUUUAGUUUAAGUAACUUCAGAAGUCAUAAUCAGAACAUUUCUUCAAUUAAUGUAACUUCUAAAAAUCUAAAACAAAUUAGAAAUCGUUCAAGACUUUUUUUGUUGCUGCUUUUUUACCUUUAAACCUCUUUCAAGUAUUGAGGUUUUGACAGAUUUUGUUCCAAAAAUCAUUGUCUAUUUUUUCUUAUCUUAAAACUUCUAAAAUAUUCACUCUUUCUGCAUUUUAUUUUCAGAUAAUUGAGGAUAAAAUCAAAAAAUUUUACAUUGGAAUUUCAUUCCGCAACAACGUACUGCAAGAGUAUUGAUGUAUGCACAAAGUAAUAACUCGACUUUUGCACAGUAUGAACUUUGACGACAAUAUCUGGGACAUAAUCCUUCUUUGCCACUAAAAAUUUAGCAAUUGGUGACUCGAUUCGAAGAAGCAGGAAAAAUAUUAGACAAACAAGCCUAAAGUAUACCGAAAGAAGCCAGCAACUUUAGACUAAUUAAAACAAAACAUAAUAUAUGCUUUUAACCAAGAAAAACUUUGAAAUUUCUUUAAAA